rnacentral:rRNA from 1 species
CACGUAGGGAGCGAGCGUUGUCCGGAUUCAUUGGGCGUAAAGAGCUCGUAGGCGGCUUGGCAAGUCGGGUGUGAAAACUCCAGGCUCAACCUGGAGACGCCACCCGAUACUGCCAUGGCUAGAGUCCGGUAGGGGACCACGGAAUUCCUGGUGUAGAGGUGAAAUUCGUAGAUAUCGGGAGGAACACCAGUGGCGAAGGCGGCGAUCUGGGAAGAUACUGACGCUGAGGUGCGAAAGCGUGGGGAGCAAACAGG